AUUUAAUAUAUUACCAGGUUUUGUUUUGUCUCUUUAGACUUUAGGUUUAGUUUUCUGUUCACUGUUCACUCUUCACUCUUCAGCGACAAUUGCAAGCAAGGACGACGGCGGCUCCCGUUUGCAGUUGUUACGACGACGGUCGACGGCAAGGAUUAGGCGGCAACGAUCGACGGCAAGGGUUGUUCAUUAGAUAUACAUAUGGCUGUGUAAACAACAAAUUUUCGAGCCGAGAAAAAUAAAUAAUCAAGACUGGAAAGUUGGAGUAACAAAGUGCUGAAAAUACUUCAACUAAUGAGGUGGUGGUCCUGGGCGAUGAAAGUAUUAAUUCAAAUUCUAUGCGUCAAAAACAAUCUGUUCAGUCAAAGAUAAAGAAAGAAAAAAAAAGGUCUCGAGUAUGGGAUCAUUUUGGAUCAUUUGUUAAUGAAGAAGGGAAUAAGAAAUCGAAGUAUAAGUAUUGUGGUUCAAAUUAUUUUGCUGAUUCAGGUAAAAAUGGUACGACGUCAAUGUUUACCCAUAUGUUAACUUGUUCAAAGAUGCCUCGAAGUGCUGAUAAAAGCCAAACUCAAAUAGGCUUUCAAUCAGUUCAAGGGGGUGAUAUGGAUGAUGUGGUAGUUGUUUCCUGAAAAUUUGAGCAAGAACAACGUAGGAGUGCUUUAUGUCGCAUGGUGAUUGUGGAUGAACUCCCUUUCAAGUUUGUCGAGAAGGAAGGUUUUAGAAACUUUAUGAAAAUAGCACAACCUCAUUUUAAGAUUCCUUCUCGUACCACUGUGACAUGUGACUGUUUUAAACUUUUUGAUGAAGAGAAACAGAAGUUGAGGAGAUCUAUCGGAGAAGCACAACAAAGAGUUAGUCUUACCACUGAUACUUGGACCUCUUUGCAGCGAAUUAACUAUAUGUGUAUCACUGCACAUUGGAUCGAUAAAGAAUGGAUGAUGCAUAAGAGGAUAAUUAACUUCUGUCCUAUUUCUAGCCGUAGAGGUGAAGACAUGGCUAACGAGAUAAUUAAGUGUUUAGGUGAUUGGGGCUUAGAUAAAAAUUUUACCAUCACAGUCAAUAAUGCUAGUUCGAAUGAUGUGUCUGUGAAAGAGUUGUCUAAGAUAUUCACUAAACGGGGGACCAAUUUCAUGAAUGAAGAACACCUUAAUGUUAGGUGUAUGGCGCAUAUUCUAAAUCUUGUUGUUCAAGAUGGUUUAAAGGUGUCAGCUGUUUCUAUUGAACGGGUUAGAAGAGUAGUUAAAUUCAUUAGGCUGUCUCCUGCGAGGUGUAAGAGGUUCCAAGAGUGUUGUGAAGAUAUUGUUGCAAAAAAUCUUUAUGUUUGGAUGUUUCUACGGGGUGAAACUCCACAUACUUGAUGUUGAAUAGGGCUAUUGAGUUUGAAAAUGUGGUUUCCAGUUAUGUUGAUCGUGAUAUUGGUUUGUCACAUUAUCUUCAAUUUGUUGAGGAUGAAGAUGGAACUGCUGUCGGUGCACUUUUGAGUGAUGACUGGAACAAUGUAAAGAAAGUUUCUAAUUUCCUUCAAAUCUUCUAUGAUCUUACCAGAGAAGUAUAUACCUGGAUCACAGUACGUCACAUCAAAUUUACACUUUCUUAAAAUUUGUGAGGUUUCUUUUUAUUUGAAACAAUUGAUAUCGAGUGAAGAUGACGAUGAUCUUUUGAGUAAAAUUGCUUCAAAUAUGAGAAAAUUUUGAUAAGUAUUGGGGUACUCCAAAAAAAAAAUGAAUAAGAUGAUUUUUGUUUCUUGUGUUCUGGAUCCUCCACACAAGUUUGUUUCGGUUGGCUUUGCAUUUGAAAUGAUGUUUGGAAAAGAAGGACUAGUUCUAGAGAAGGAAGUUAGAGACUACAUGAAUUUAAUGUUUGGUGAGUAUGUAAAGUGUCUUUCAAAAGAUAAAGAUAGUAUCACUCUUCAUCUUUAUCUAGUUUUUCAUUUGGAAACUUUAGUUCACUGCCUUCAAGUUCAGGUAGUAUUGUCCAAUCAAUAGGAUCUUUGGGGUCGUUCAUGGAUGAUCUAAUGAAACAUAAAGCUGGAAAUAUAACAAUUGUUAAAACUGAAUUGCAAAAAUAUCUUGGUGAAGAAAAUGAAGUUGAAACCAAGAACUUUAACAUCCUGUCUUGGUGGAAAAUAAACUCACCUAGAUUUCCUAUUCUUGCUGAGAUGGCUCGGAAUGUGUUAGCUAUUCUUAUUUCUAGUGUGGCAUCCGAGUGUGCGUUUAGUACCGGUGGACGCAUCUUAGAUUCAUUUAGGAGUUCAUUAACUCCUAAAUUGGUGCAAACUCUAGUGUGUCUUCAAGAUUGGAUUCGAAGUGAAUCACGACCUGUUAGUGUUGAGGAAGAUAUAGAUGCCCUUGAACAGCUUGAACAAGAUUUGGCUAGCACUAGCAUUCUUGAUGAUUAAUGUGGAGUUGAAAGUUGAAACUCUUUUUUGCACUUGAAUCUGGACAUUUGGUUUUGUGAUUGUCUUGAUUAGGAACUUGGUGAGGAUUUUGCUGAUUAUCUGAUGGGUAUAUGAUAAACUGCCGAAUUAAUUUUUAUGGAAAUGCGACAUUCAGAUUGAAGUUGGAUCAAAACUGGGCUUAUUGAUUUUAAUUUUAGUUUGUAAUUGACUAAUUGUAGCUUUUGCACUAUGGUAAUUUCAAUUUGUAAAUGUAUGCAGACUGCAAUUUGAUUAACAUUAGGACUCGUAUAUUUA